rnacentral:rRNA from 1 species
UAGGGAAUCUUCGGCAAUGGGGGGAACCCUGACCGAGCAACGCCGCGUGAGUGAAGAAGGUUUUCGGAUCGUAAAGCUCUGUUGUUAAGGAAGAACGAGUGUGAGAAUGGAAAGUUCAUACUGUGACGGUACUUAACCAGAAAGGGACGGCUAACUACGUGCCAGCAGCCGCGGUAAUACGUAGGUCCCGAGCGUUGUCCGGAUUUAUUGGGCGUAAAGCGAGCGCAGGCGGUUAGAUAAGUCUGAAGUUAAAGGCAGUGGCUCAACCAUUGUAGGCUUUGGAAACUGUUUAACUUGAGUGCAGAAGAGGAGAGUGGAAUUCCAUGUGUAGCGGUGAAAUGCGUAGAUAUAUGGAGGAACACCAGUGGCGAAGGCGACUCUCUGGUCUGUAACUGACGCUGAGGCUCGAAAGCGUGGGUAGCAGACAGG